UCACUAGCUGAUACACUCACUUCUGUCUCGCUCACUCACUCACUUUUAGUCCAUGUUACCUUUUCCAGUGUAGACCACCCGAAAAUUAUGGGACUAAGUGUUUUGUGCUUACCAACUUGUUACGUCGGUUUUGAUUAUUUGGGUAUUGAUUCUUCAGGUUUUUUCCCACGAUCAACCCAUUGGUUUUGCCUCCUACUAUGGCAACCACAUGGUGCUGCAGAAGUCUCCGGAGAGAGCCAUUCUGUGGGGUUACGGCAGGCCUGAGGGUGCCCAGGUCACAGUCUACUUGUCAGGACCAAUGAAAUACAACAGCUCACCAGU